rnacentral:rRNA from 1 species
UCGGGAAUUUUGGGCAAUGGGCGAAAGCCUGACCCAGCAACGCCGCGUGAGGGAUGAAGUAUUUCGGUAUGUAAACCUCGAAAGAAUGGGAAGAAUAAAUGACGGUACCAUUUAUAAGCUCCGGCUAACUACGUGCCAGCAGCCGCGGUAAUACGUAGGGAGCAAGCGUUGUUCGGAUUUACUGGGCGUAAAGGGCGCGUAGGCGGCGCGGUAAGUCACUUGUGAAAUCUCUGAGCUUAACUCCGAACGGCCAAGUGAUACUGCUGUGCUAGAGGGCGGAAGAGGCAACCGGAAUUCUUGGUGUAGCGGUGAAAUGCGUAGAUAUCAAGAGGAACACCUGAGGCGAAGGCGGGUUGCUGGGCCGACACUGGCGCUGAUGCGCGAAAGCCAGGGGAGCAAACG